rnacentral:rRNA from 1 species
AAUAUUGCGCAAUGGGGGAAACCCUGACGGAGCAACGCCGCGUGAGCGAAGAAGGCCUUCGUGUCGUAAAGCUCUGUUGUUAGGUAAGAACAAGUAUCUGAGUAACUGCCGGUACCUUUACGGUACCUAACCAGAAAGCCACGGCUCACUACGUGCCAGCACCCGCGGUAAUACGUAGGUGGCAAGCGUUGUCCGGAAUUAUUGGGCGUAAAGCGCGCGCAGGCGGUCUCUUAAGUCUGAUGUGAAAGCCCCCGGCUCAACCGGGGAGGGUCAUUGGAAACUGGGAGACUUGAGUGCAGUAGAGAAGAGCGGAAUUCCACGUGUAGCGGUGAAAUGCGUAGAGAUGUGGAGGAACACCAGUGGCGAAGGCGGCUCUUUGGUCUGUAACUGACGCUGAGGCGCGAAAGCGUGGGGAGCAAACAGG